UAUCAGUCAUGCAUAGCAUAUCAAUAAGCGGAGGAAAAGGAACUAACAAGGAUUCCCUUAGUAACGGCGAGUGAAGCGGGAAGAGCUCAAAUUUGAAAUCUUCAAGGUCUUACCUUGACGAAUUGUAGUUUAAAGAAGUGUUUUCUGUUGAAGUUUUGGUAAAAGUUCUUUGGAAUAGGACAUCAUAGAGGGUGAGAAUCCCGUAUUUGACCAUUACUUUCAGCUUUGUGAUACACUUUCAAAGAGUCGGAUUGUUUGGGAAUGCAGUCCAAAAUGGGUGGUAAAUUUCAUCUAAAGCUAAAUAUUGGCGAGAGACCGAUAGCGAACAAGUACCGUGAGGGAAAGAUGAAAAGAACUUUGAAAAGAGAGUUAAACAGUACGUGAAAUUGUCAAAAGGGAAGCGUUUGACACCAGUGUUGUUUUCUCGAAAAUCAAUUAAAAAGAGUUGGAUUUUGUGUUGUAUUGACUUUAUCAGCUUUCUUCACUCUUUUCCAGCUUUUUUUAAUGCACUUUUCGUUUAACAAGUCAACAUCAGUUUCUUUUGUUGUAAAAAGGUCAUUGGAAGGUGGCUUUCUCUUCGGAGAAAGUGUUUAUAGCCUUUGACUCAUGCAAUCGGAGAGACUGAGGUCUGCAGCGUAGAUCCUUCGGGGUUAGAUACAUUUGUGCUAAGUUAUAGCUUUUCAUAGACAACUUGUUGACUAUGUUUAGUCUUGUAGCUUACUCGCUUAUGCUAUUUUACCUACGCUUAGGAUGUUGAACUCUAUCACACACAG
rnacentral:rRNA from 1 species